rnacentral:rRNA from 1 species
GAUGAACGCUGGCGGCGUGCCUAAUACAUGCAAGUAGAACGCUGAAGGAAGGAGCUUGCUCUUUCCGGAUGAGUUGCGAACGGGUGAGUAACGCGUAGGUAACCUGCCUGGUAGCGGGGGAUAACUAUUGGAAACGAUAGCUAAUACCGCAUAACAGUAGAUGUUGCAUGAUAUCUACUUAAAAGGUGCAAUUGCACCACUACCAGAUGGACCUGCGUUGUAUUAGCUAGUUGGUGAGGUAACGGCUCACCAAGGCGACGAUACAUAGCCGACCUGAGAGGGUGAUCGGCCACACUGGGACUGAGACACGGCCCAGACUCCUACGGGAGGCAGCAGUAGGGAAUCUUCGGCAAUGGACGGAAGUCUGACCGAGCAACGCCGCGUGAGUGAAGAAGGGUUUCGGAUCGUAAAGCUCUGCUGUAAGAGAAGAACGAGUGUGAGAGUGGAAAGUUCACACUGUGACGGUAUCUUACCAGAAAGGGACGGCUAACUACGUG